UACGGGGGGAGCAAGCGUUGUUCGGAUUUACUGGGCGUAAAGGGCGCGUAGGCGGCACCGCAAGUCAGUUGUGAAAUCUCUGGGCUUAACCCAGAAAGGUCAACUGAUACUGCGGGGCUAGAGUGCAGAAGGGGCAACUGGAAUUCUCGGUGUAGCGGUGAAAUGCGUAGAUAUCGAGAGGGACACCUGCGGCGAAGGCGGGUUGCUGGGCUGACACUGACGCUGAUGCGCGAAAGCUAGGGGAGCGAACGGG
rnacentral:rRNA from 1 species